AUUCCAGCUCCAAUAGCGUAUAUUAAAGUUGUUGCAGUUAAAAAGCUCGUAGUUGGAUUUCUGGCGGGGACCCGGGUACCCCUGGUGGGUGUGCUCGGGCCCGGCCAUCCUUCUGUCAACUUUCGCGCGUCCUUCACCGGUCGGCAAAGGGAUCAGAUAAUUUACCUUGAGAAAAUUAGAGUGUUUCAGGCAGGCUUAGCCGGAAUACAUUAGCAUGGAAUAAUGGAAUAGGACUGAGGUCUCGUUGUUGGUUACGCGGACUACAGUAAUGAUUAAUAGGGACAGUUGGGGGCAUUAGUAUUUAUUAGCUAGAGGUGGAAUUCUCUAAUUUGAUAAAGACUAACUUAUGCGAAAGCAUUUGCCAAGGAUGUUUUCAUCA
rnacentral:rRNA from 1 species